UGAAAACAUAGGUUUUAUUGUCUGUGAAGAUUUCGAAAGCCCGAGGGAGAGAGCGGUCCCUGCGUUUUCUGGCCACAACCUUCACACUCUGUACUUUGCUGAGUUCUAUUGGGUCAUCUGGGUUGAACUGAAGAGUGCUUUCGGGACAAAACGGCCAGUACUGCUCUCUUAGUAGCCAUCCCGAUGGAAGGGUUGUUGCACAUGAAGCACUGCCAUGCUCCUGCUGCGUCGCUGAAGCCAAACACAUCAAAGAACCUCACUUCUUCCAGAUGAAGCUGUGCCCGGUCCAGGUCCUGUUUCAGGAACACAAA